GCCCCUGUCCAACCUAUUUUAGGGACAGUUUUAUGGAUCCUACCUGGAGUACAGCUGUAACAUAAAUACAGAUGGGCAAGGGGCAAAAGCAAUCGCAAUGCCUAAGAGGAGGAAGGGAGGAUUUUGUAGAGAAGGAGCUGAGAGAGGGCCUGGAUUUUGUUCUCUGCUCCUUGCAGAAGUACCCCAGUCACCAUUCAUAUGCUGAAGGCUAUUGCCUCUUUCUUCUGACAAUGCUUCCUUGCCUCUCAAGGAGUUCCAGCCUGUCAUAGGAGGUUCUACGAAGGCAGAAGAACUAAAUUCAAGAUAUUUGUAGCCAAGAGAUCUCAGCUGGACUGAUUUUUCCAAAUAAACAUAUC